rnacentral:rRNA from 1 species
CAGUAGCCGCGGUAAUACGAAGGGGGCUAGCGUUGCUCGGAAUGACUGGGCGUAAAGGGCGCGUAGGCGGAUGGCACAGUCAGAUGUGAAAUUCCCGGGCUUAACCUGGGGGCUGCAUUUGAUACGUGUUGUCUAGAGUGAGGAAGAGGGUCGUGGAAUUCCCAGUGUAGAGGUGAAAUUCGUAGAUAUUGGGAAGAACACCGGUGGCGAAGGCGGCGACCUGGUCCUUUACUGACGCUGAGGCGCGAAAGCGUGAGGAGCAAACAGGAUUAGAUACCCGCGUAGUCCCUGUCUCUUAUAC